rnacentral:rRNA from 1 species
UACGUAGGGCGCAAGCGUUGUCCGGAAUUAUUGGGCGUAAAGAGCUCGUAGGCGGUUUGUCGCGUCUGCUGUGAAAACCUAAGGCUCAACCUUGGGCUUGCAGUGGGUACGGGCAGACUAGAGUGCGGUAGGGGGUGACUGGAAUUCCUGGUGUAGCGGUGGAAUGCGCAGAUAUCAGGAGGAACACCGGUGGCGAAGGCGGAUCUCUGGGCCGAUACUGACGCUGGAGGAGCGAAAGCGUGGGGAGCGAACAGGAUU